UGAGAGAUUGUUACUCUAUUGAAAAAUAGGGAGAAUUUAUUCUCAACUAUUAAAUAUAUUUUUCCAAAAUAACAUUUCUACUGGUUUCUAUUAAAUAAGAGAAAAUUUUCGGUUUCACCCCAAAAAGAAUUUAAUGUUUUGAUUCAAUUAGUUCAAGCCCACACUCGAAGCAUUUUGUGGUAUGAGAAUAGUGAAGAAGAUCAUUUGGUUGAAAGCUCGAAAACAUCAAGGAUUUGCUUAUUCAAAAACACAUGUACGAUUUCGGUUUAACAUUUAUUGCCAUAAAUAUCACAAACCGAGUCAGUUUUCAAAUUUUUUAUUUUUCGCUAAAAUAAAACCGUUUUCAAACUAGAUUUUUUUCAACAUGAUUUUGGUAUCUCUCUUCUCAAAUCCAGCGAUUGUGUCACGAGUGGGGUGUUACAUUGACGCGAUCACAAGUUUCCACGAAGUGAGCGGCAUGUUUACAUGGAUUUCCGUUACCAUCAAACUAUUGCAAUUUUAGAGGUGGAUAAUGUUCAGGCAUAUUUAAAUGAUAAAUCCUCCAAAUGUAUGACUUCGAGUAUAUAUAUAAAGGUGGAGCAACACUUUUGACUUGAUCUUUGAUGGUUUCUUUAACGAGCUCCUUGAGUUGGUUUAAAGAAACACUUUAAAGUCCUUUAACAAUUUUGAUUCCAACAACUUUGUGAAGAGGAUGUUCAGUUUCGUUGUAAAAGGUUUGGUUACUUCCACUAAGAUGUUCAAUUUGAUCAUCCAUUCCUUUUAUGCUUGUAGUAAGACUCUCUAUCGUUUUUGCUAUAGAUCUACUUAUUCUUCUAAGAAUGUAGUGUCAGUUGUCAUGACAUUCAUCACUCUAAAAUUUGGUUCUGGGGGAGAUUUUGGAAUAUAAUUUUCACUUGAUUGACUCUUUUUUCUCCUUAAUGAUAACUGGGGAGCUACACUUGAUCCAUGAGUAGAAACUUCUGUAAAUCACAAGUUGGGCGAAGAAGCAUCAUAGAGUGGAUUGUCAUUUACCAUUAAAGAAGUCUGUUCAAAUAACUCUUAAAGAGAUUUUGUCUUUUGUUUAAUUCCAUAAGGAUAAGCAAGAACAUUGGUGCUUGAUGAUGAAGUGGAACGAGUUGUAGGAUUAGCUUGAGCAGGCUUGUGAGCUAGUUUACUAAUGAUUAUAUUCUUUGAGUUUAAUGCAACUUUGAACUUUAACUUUUUGAGGGAAUAGAUAAAAGUCAAAGAAUGUCCCACCAAGUGUAUUAGAAAUUUGUACAUACAAAAUUUGAGUUGAAAAUUGACUUGAAAAUUUGGCGUAUAAUUUUAUUUAUAACUUCGAUAAUAGUACAAUCUCAAAUUUUCUUUACAAAGAAAAUUCCUUUUUUUUCCCCUAGAUUGAGCUUCGAUCCAUGCGUCAUCCAAACUUGAUCUACUUAGGAUAGAAUAUUGUUUUCUAUGAAAUAAAUAUUAUUCGUGUUUUACUAAUUCAACUAGCAUUCUCGUGUCUCUCCCUAUAAAUAGAUAGUACUGGUAGAGCUAUUAACACAAGACAUAAGUUUUACAUAUUGUUAUUCUACUAGAAAGUAGUGAGAAUAUAUUUUCAAAAAAUAAAUUUUAUUUUC
rnacentral:lncRNA from 1 species